rnacentral:rRNA from 1 species
AGUCUGGUGCCAGCAGCCGCGGUAAUUCCAGCUCCAAAAGCAUAUAUUAAAGUUGUUGCGGUUAAAAAGCUCGUAGUUGGAUCCAUGACCUCGGAGGGCGGUCCCCCACUGGGUGCGUACUGCUGCUCCGAGUCCUAUCUGUCAGUUUGUCUGUGUUGCCUUUAAUCGGGUGGCACAGGUGACUGACGUGUUUACUUUGAAAAAAUUAGAGUGUUUAAAGCAGGCGUUGAAUGCCUGAAUAGUGGUGCAUGGAAUAAUGGAAUAGGAUCUCGGUUCUAUUUUGUUGGUUCAAGAGCAUGAGAAAAUGAUUAAGAGGGACAGACGGGGGCAUUUGUAUUGCUGCGUUAGAGGUGAAAUUCUUGGAUCGUAGCAAGACAAACUACUGCGAAGGCAUUUGCCAAGAAUGUUUUCAUUAAUCAAGAACGAAAGUUAGAGGUUCGAAGGCGAUCAGAUACCGCCCUAGUUCUAACCGUAAACCAUGUCGACUAGCUAUCUGUCAGCGUUAAUAAUGACCUGACAGGCAGCUUACCGGAAACGAAAGUUUCUCGAUUCCGGGGGUAGUAUGGUUGCAAAGCUGAAACUUAAAGGAAUUGACGGAAGGGCACCACCAGGAGUGGAGCCUGCGGCUUAAUUUGACCCAACACGGGAAAACUCACCCGGCCCGGACACCGUAAGGAUUGACAGAUUAAUAGCUCUUUCUCGAUUUGGUGAUUGGUGGUGCAUGGCCGUUCUUAGUUGGUGGAGCGAUUUGUCUGGUUAAUUCCGAUAACGAACGAGAUUCUAACUUACUACUAGUUCCACGAUCCUUGUGGUCCUAAAUACUUCUUAGAGGGAAAACCGGCAUUUAGUCGAACGAGAUUGAGCAAUAACAGGUCUGUGAUGCCCUUAGAUGUCCGGGGCUGCACGCGUGCUACACUGAAGGAAUCAGCGUGUUUUUCCCUUGCCUGUAAUGGCUGGGUAACCGACUGAAUCUCCUUCGUGCUAGGGAUAGAUCAUUGAAACUAGUGAUCUUCAACUUGGAAUUCCUGGUACGUUUGAGUCAUAAGCUCAAGCAGAUUACGUCCCUGCCCUUUGUACACACCGCCCGUCGCUACUACCGACUGGCAAUAUCUUUGAGACACUUGGAGCGGCCGUGAGCUACCCUAACCGGUAACUCACGGCUGCGAAAAGGUU